CUGUUAUGACUGAAACUUGUAACGCUGCAGUUGUAGGAAGUAGCGGGCAGAAGGCUGGAGACUGUCACGACAUGAGAAGAUACGCAUGCCAAGAAUGGUUACACAGAGGUGACCCAUGAAGAUCUGGAAUGAGAGGAAGAACUAUGGCUUCCAUCCCGCACAUUACUACUCAAUCUUCGGUCAGCUAUACUACUCAAUACAACUUGCUCUGUGGAGUCCUAAAGACAUCUCUCCAACAGUUGGGAAUGGCUGUAGACAAGAAGUAAGAGCAAAUUCCCUUGAACUAAUUAUCAAGGAAUCCAUUCAAACUAGC